rnacentral:misc_RNA from 1 species
CAAGAAGAGACCCUAACCGGUCCUCUCAACCCUGCCCAUCGUACCCUUUUUGUUGUUCCCUCGGCGGCGCUCCCGGGCCCGCCGGCGGGAAGACCAAACAAACCCUUUGCAAACCAGCAUACUUACAUCUCUGAUCAAAACACAAAUUGUCA